rnacentral:rRNA from 1 species
UACGAAGGCUACAAGCGUUAUCCGGAUUUAUUGGGCGUAAAGAGCGAGUAGGUGGUUUGGUGCGUCUGUUGUUAAAUGUCUCCGCUUAACGGGGUCACCGCAAUGGAAACGGCCGAACUAGAGAGUGCUAGAGGCAAAUAGAACGCACGGUGUAGGGGUGAAAUCCGUUGAUAUCGUGCGGAAUACCAAAGGCGAAGGCAUUUUGCUGGGGCAUUUCUGACACUCAAUCGCGAAAGCGUGGGGAGCAAAAAGG